UCAUCAUAUGAUAUCUAUUUCCGCCAAACGGACGUGCCCACAGCUCAAAAUUUCAUUUUUUCAAUUAAAAGGCUAAAAGCCCGAAAUAUAUAUUUUUUGAGUGGCAUCCAGUAAUUUUGAGUGGCAUCCAGUAUUCUAAGUGGUGUUUAGCACUCAGUGCGGCUGCCAGCUAUAAAAGCUAGCCAGCGAAUAAAGCUUAAAGUAUUUCUAAAAUUCUGGGUGGAAACCCCUGUCAGUGCUGCCUCAAGUUGCCGCGAAAGGCGCAUCUUAUUGAUUCGGCCAAUUUGCUGGAGGAUUUACCUCAAGAAGGCCAAAAUCAAAUCUCGGGGCCCAAUCGUCAGGUUGGCCCGCGAGGAAUGAUUUGGAGAGAUUAGUGCCCUGAAGUGCCCCUAUCUACUAUCUACCUAUCUACGGGUCAUGUAGUGCCGGCCAAGAAGAGCAGUUUAUAUAAAGAGGACCCGAUGGCAAUUUAAUUCAAUUACAUAAUCUGCCCGAUGCCCCUCAUGCCGCGCAUCCGUACACCAGCCGAGUUUUAAGGGGUGCGCGUAUCCGCCUAGGAGGUUCCCGAGUGGAAUAUCGCUGCCGCAGCUUUAGGGACUUAUACCCGUUUAUUUUGUAAAAGCGCCGCGUGUGUGAACGGCCUUAACCUAGCAUGGCGCACUAGCCAACUUUGUUUAACCUUAAUGAAGAUAAAAACUCUCUUUCGUAAUGGAUCAGUCCUAACCCUGUAUUAUAACCAACACGCUUUGAGAAACCGAAUUUAAGAAUUCAUGUGAAAGAAAAUCAAUGAAAUCAAAGAUAUGUAAACCAUAAGGCAAACAAUAAUUUUUCGUAAAGCCUCAAGUGGCAACGCUAUGUAAAGCGAUAGUUAUAUUAACAAAGUAAAAGAAAUUAACAAGUCGAUCGGGUCAAAAGAGAUAAUGCACGCCGAGAAGCAUUAAUUUAAUUUAAGAAGAGUUAUAUUUUUUUUAGGUUUAAAUGAGAAAUUUGUUAUUGUAAAGUAUUCAAGGAAGUACGAUGAAUUAGGUACGGGUUACAAGUUUAGUUUAAAUCGUUCGCGCGUCUAAGAGAAAUGAGAGAAAUGUUUAUUUGCCCUUUAAAUUCUACAUGGCGAGAAAAAUCGCUACCCUUUAAAUUACAGCCAACCCAUCCCGUCCGGAGAUCGAUCUUCAACGUUGGAGGAAAUGCCGUGAGUCACACUAACUAAUCUCAUAUAUAUAUUUUUAUUCGCAUUUCUCGCCGAUCCGUAAAGUGAACGAAACUUGUUUAAACAUAAACCCCGAUCUAAAAACAAUUAAUUAAUUAAAAUACCUUGAGUUAAUUGCAUUCUCUAUGAAUUAAUUUGCGAUUUUCAAAAGAAGUUGAAUGUUAAUUACU